UGGUGGAGUGAUUUGUCUGGUUAAUUCCGUUAACGAACGAGACCUCGACCUGCUAAAUAGGGCGGCGAACCGCUCGCGGUUCGUACGCGACUUCUUAGAGGGACUGUCGGUUUGUAGCCGAAGGAAGCACGAGGCAAUAACA
rnacentral:rRNA from 1 species